rnacentral:misc_RNA from 1 species
GAUGAAGAACGCAGCGAAAUGCGAUAAGUAAUGUGAAUUGCAGAAUUCAGUGAAUCAUCGAAUCUUUGAACGCACAUUGCGCCCCCUGGUAUUCCGGGGGGCAUGCCUGUUCGAGCGUCAUUUCACCACUCAAGCCUCGCUUGGUAUUGGGCAACGCGGUCCGCCGCGUGCCUCAAAUUGUCCGGCUGGGUCUUCUGUCCCCUAAGCGUUGUGGAAACUAUUCGCUAAAGGGUGUUCGGGAGGCUACGCCGUAAAACAACCCCAUUUCUAAGGUUGACCUCGGAUCAGGUAGGGAUACCCGCUGAACUUAAGCAUAUCAAUAAGCGGAGGA